rnacentral:rRNA from 1 species
AUGCCACCGCUCGCCACGAUGGCAGUCUUGUCAGCGUCGCUUGCCACCGCGCACCGCUGGCUGCACAGCCUCUUGCCACGCGCGCCUGGAAAGGCCCCAGGGCGAAACGUUGGUGGAUGUGCUGGAGCGUGGGUACAGAGUGGUAGCUUGCCGUGGCAAGCGCCUUGCCGCGGUCAUUGUCUUGUCGCGUCCGGAAGCUUGUCGCUCACCGGGCCUUGCCGGGAUGUGUGGCGCAUCGCGACAAGUUCCUUGAGAUGCCUUGGUUGGCCUUCCCGGCAAGCUCCUCUUGCCGGGGCCUUGUCUCUUUGGCUUGAAUACUUUGUCCUUGAAUGGCUCCAAAGGAACCACGGAGGACCUUGGCGGUCACCCGGCAAGCCUUGCCGCGGGGUGCUGCGACUCCCCGUGCACAAGUUCGGGAUACUAGGGUACCCCUACUCUAGUACACCGACAGGAGCCCCCGGGCCUGGGCCACACAUGGCGCCGAGUGCUGUUGGGCCAGGCCCAAAACAGGGCACGGGCACGCGCGGCCUGGGUUACGCCGUAUCUUACUCCGUAUCCACCGCGCCCUACUCGAACGACAAGCGUCCAAUGCGGCGUCGUGGGAGAGAUCGUGGGUGGUUUCUUUAUUCGGAAAGACGGAACGCCCACCCCCACCCUCUUUAUAAGCAGGGGAAACAGGGGCAGUUCGCCCAUCUCGCCAGUUGCUACUCCAAUCUCAGAAAUCUCUGCCGCUCCCCCCUUCUUCCCAAAGCUGAAAGAGAGCAGCGCUCCGCCCCCCCAUCGCCACCAGCAUCACCAACGCCGUCGAUCUCCCCCACCACCUCCACCAUGGCUCCGAAAUCCGACAAGGGGAAGGUCGUGAAGUCGGCCGAGGCACAACGGCUCGCGGCGCUGCGAAAGGAGCGGGCAAUCUCCCCCCCCCAGCUCGCCGCGAAGGAGCUGAGGGAGUACUACUACCUCUUCUGGUCGACGGAGACGCGAGCGCAUCCGCGUAUGAAGGUACUCCCAGCUGCCGCUUCGGAACUGGCUCCGAAUGGAUACCCUUUCUUCACGCUGUUCUUCUACUGCGGGCUCUGCCCGCCUUUCUCUGAAUUUUUCUGCGAUAUCAUGAACACCUACGGGUUCCGCCUCCUUGACUUCACCCCCAAUGUUGUUCUGACCAUGGCAGUUUUCGCACAUCUCUGCGAAAACUUUGUCGGAGUCUAUCCAAACGUAGCUCUUUUUUGCCACUUCUUUAUGCCCCGAGUUGAGAGAGGGGAGCCUUUAUCUGGCGGAAUCGCCUGGAUCUCGAGAGCUGGCAAGAAGGAAGCUUAUCUGGAGGGAGAGCUCCGCAGCAAGUGGGAGGAAUGGAGAGAAGAAUGGUGCUAG